UUUACUCUUUCUUUACAUUCCAAAGUUUUAGCACUAUAUUUUCUUAUUUAUGAAUUGAUUUUAUUGAGAAGAUUGUUAAUCAUUGUGAUAAUUUUUCCCCUGAUAAUAAGCUUGGAGACGGAGGUUUUGGACCUGUUUUUAAGGUAUUGUAAUUACAUGAGAAAUUAUAUUGACAACCUGAAUACCUGCAAGUCUGCAACACAAAUAUGAGCUCACACCAAAAGAAAAUGGAAAGAAAUUACUCUGGAACUAGCCAGAUAGGUCAAUUGCCAGAUGGGCAGCAAAUAGCUGUGAAAAGGCUAUCAACUCAAUCAAGGAAAGGCAUAAGUGAAUUCAAAACUGAAGCCUUCUCAUUGCAAAACUCCAACACAGAAAUCUUGUUAGGUUCCUUGGCUGCUGUGUAAAAGAUGAGGAGAAAAUGUUAAUAUAUGAAUAUAUGCCAAACAAAAGUCUAGACUAUUUCAUAUUCUGUAUGAUAACUUAUUACUAUCUGUUUUUGUGUAAACCCUUUCCUCCUGUCUAAUGUGUGCUUACUGGAUAAAUUUGAUAUGUACAACUUAGACGAGAGCAGGAGAUCAUUGCUUGAUUGGAAAAAGCGGCAUGAAAUCAUUAUUGGUAUAGCUUGAGGGAUACUCCAUCUGCAUCAGGACUCGAGAUUAAGAGUAAUCCACCGUGAUCUGAAAGCCAGCAACAUUCAGAUUUUGGUGCAACAAGAAUAUUUAGCGGAAACCAAGAUGAAGCAAAUACUCUUCGAAUAGUUGGCACAUAGAAGCAAGAAAAUACCGAUAGGUCUUUUCCCAUCAUGUUCUCACUACUUACAAAUACUUUGCCUACUCAUUAUAGCUCCUUUUUUAUGCAGUGGCCAUAUGUCACCUGAAUAUGCUCUAGCUGGUCUCUUCAUAGUAAAAUCUGAUGUCUUUAGCUUUGAUAUCAUAUUAUCGGAGGUCAUUAGUGGAAGAAAGAACAGAGUCUCUUAUAAUUAUAAUAAUGAUUCCCCUCCAAAUUUGAUACGACAGGCCUGGGAGCUGUGGGGAACGAUGGCAAGGCCUUCGAGCUGAUAGAUCCAACAAUAGUUGAUUCUUGUCCCAGUGAGGUAGCACUACUCUGUAUUCAAGUAGGACUAUUGUGUUUGCAAGUGAAUGCAGGGGACAGACCAACCAUGUCAUCCGUUCUGUUCAUGCUAAGCAAUGAAGCAAUGGUUCCCUCCCCGAAGCAGCCAUUGAUUACCUCCCAACUCUGACUCGAGUACUACAGAAACAACACCAUCUUCUAUCAAUGAGGUGACUAUUACAGCACCGGUUGGUCGUUAGUCAGCUGAUGACUGAUGAUGUGUUUAUGUAUUUCUAUUGUCUGUUGACCAAAUGUAUCAAGUUGUCACUAAUUCCAUCUUCUAUGAUUGAAUGCAAUAAAUUAUAAAAGAACAAGCCUUGAGAUUAGUACAGGACUGUAUUAAGUGUCGUUGAAACACCACAAAAUACUCUGAAUCCCACAGCUUAGCGGUGUACGAAUCUGCUCCUUGCAUAGCUGAAUUAAGAAAUAUUUGUUUUCCAGAACGAGUA